ensembl:lncRNA
UAUGUUAAUGCAUGAACCUUUUUGUGUGAUUGUGUAUAUGAUUGUGCUCAGUGUGUCUGAGGUGACUCGAGUGUGAGAGCAGUGUUGUGGUUUACUCUGGGCUUCGCUGUGAUAAAAUUAGUUGCAAGAGGAAGGUAGCACAGGCUCCUCUCGAGGAUCCCUACAAUGGUAUCAAGUGCCUGUUUACUGGUCUUACUUUGAUCUACGGAGGGGUGAAGACCAGUGACAACCAGAAAAGAAAGACAAUCGUGAUAUACUGUUCACUGCAUUGCAUUUAGCGUUCUCUCUCUUCUUUCAUGAGAACAUCUUUGUAAAUAGCAAAAGCAAUUUUAAUUUUCAGAUACAGUUUGAGCCCUUGAACUCUUGUUGGUGGUAACAGAUAUGAAUCCCUCUCUUUGUAGCAGCUAUGUUGAUAGGUUUAUUCUUAUUUUAAUUAUUAUUUUUAUAUGAGUCUUUUUUAAAUUAAAGUGAAGAAGUGU